UCCAGAGAUUUCCGAAUGGGGGAACCCACUAUCUUUAGUCGGAUAGUAUCCUUACGUGAAUACAUAGCGUGAGGAAGGCAGACCCAGGGAACUGAAACAUCUAAGUACCUGGAGGAAGAGAAAGAAAAAUCGAUUUCCUGAGUAGCGGCGAGCGAAACGGAAAGAGCCCAAACCAAGAAGCUUGCUUCUUGGGGUUGUAGGACACUCUAUACGGAGUUACAAAAGAAAGUUAUAAAUGAAGCGGUCUGGAAAGGCCCGCCAAAGACGG
rnacentral:rRNA from 1 species